AUUGAACGCUAGCGGGAUGCUUUACACAUGCAAGUCGAACGGAGUGGCGGACGGGUGAGUAAUAGAGCGGCACGUGCCCAGUAGCGGGGGAUAACUACUCGAAAGAGUGGCUAAUACCGCAAACUACUGGAGCGGCCGAUAUCGGAUUAGCUAGUUGGGGGGGUAAAGGCUCACAAAGGCAACGAUCCGUAGCAGGUUUGCGAGGACGACCAGCCACACUGGGACUGAGACACGGCCCAGACUCCGACGGGAGGCAGCAGUGGGGAAUUGUGGACAAUGGGGGAAACCCUGAUCCAGCCAUCCCGCGUGUAGGAUGAAGGUCUUCGGGUUGUAAAGUACUGUUGGCAGAGAAGCGGUAUCUGCAGAAUAAGCACCGGCUAACUACGUGCCAGCAGCCGCGGUAAUAC
rnacentral:rRNA from 1 species